rnacentral:rRNA from 1 species
UACGUAGGGGGCAAGCGUUGUCCGGAUUUAUUGGGCGUACAGAGCGUGUAGGCGGCUUGGUAGGUCUCGCGUCAAAACCUGAGGCUCAACCUCAGUUCGCGUGGGAAACCACCUAGCUAGAGUCCGGAAGAGGAGAACGGAAUUCCCAGUGUAGCGGUGAAAUGCGCAGAUAUUGGGAAGAACACCAGUGGCGAAGGCGGUUCUCUGGGACGGUACUGACGCUGAGGUGCGAAAGCGUGGGGAGCAAACAGG